rnacentral:rRNA from 1 species
UUGUGUAUUAUAUCUUUGUUGCUUUGGCACGCCGCCUUGGGGCAACGGCUUCGGCUGGCUCGUGCGUGUCAAAGGACCUUAAACUCUGAAUGUUAGUGUCGUCUGAGUACUAUCUAAUAGUUAAAACUUUCAACAACGGAUCUCUUGGUUCUGGCAUCGAUGAAGAACGCAGCGAAAUGCGAUAAGUAAUGUGAAUUGCAGAAUUCAGUGAAUCAUCGAAUCUUUGAACGCACAUUGCGCCUGGUGGUAUUCCGCCAGGCAUGCCUGUUCGAGCGUCAUUUAAACCAAUCCAGCCUCGUGCUUGGGUCUUGGGCCUUUCGCCUCUGGGCGGGCCUCAAAAUCAGUGGCGGUGCCUUCUGGCUCUAAGCGUAAUAAUACUCCUCGCUAUAGAUGUCAGGUGGUGUCUUGCCAGUAACCCCUAAUUUUUAAAGGUUGACCUCGGAUCAGGUAGGGAUACCCGCUGAACUUAAGCAUAUCAAUAA